rnacentral:rRNA from 1 species
AGCGAACGCUGGCGGCAGGCUUAACACAUGCAAGUCGAACGCCCCGCAAGGGGAGUGGCAGACGGGUGAGUAACACGUGGGAACGUACCCUUUGGUUCGGAAUAACUUGGGGAAACUCAAGCUAAUACCGGAUAAGCCCUUAUGGGGAAAGGUUUACUGCCGAAGGAUCGGCCCGCGUCUGAUUAGCUAGUUGGUGAGGUAAUGGCUCACCAAGGCGACGAUCAGUAGCUGGUCUGAGAGGAUGAUCAGCCACACUGGGACUGAGACACGGCCCAGACUCCUACGGGAGGCAGCAGUGGGGAAUAUUGGACAAUGGGGGCAACCUGGAUCCAGCCAUGCCGCGUGAGUGAUGAAGGCCUUAGGGUUGUAAAGCUCUUUUACCCGGGACGAUAAUGACUGUACCGGGAGAAUAAGCCCCGGCUAACUUCGUGCCAGCCGCCGCUGUAA